rfam:Buceros rhinoceros silvestris contig153343, whole genome shotgun sequence.
CUCAAGGCUUUUUUUAAAGCCACUUCAUUUUACAUUACCGGGGUGG